UAUAUAUUUCGUUUUUAUACGAAUCAUUUCAAAGAGCCUCUACAUUGCAGUACGUCACAUCGUUGAAGUUAAUGGCAUUGUAUGAUAAGUCAAAGUACUUCAAGUUUGUUGCUUUCAUUGCAACAACUAUGAGUUCCAUUUCAUGAUUUUCUAUUCCCAGUGAAAACAGAUUGCCUGAAAAUACAACAUAUUCCAGACAUUGUUGAUAUUUAAACGCAAGUAAAGAAUUUUCCUCAUAUCAAACUAUUUCACUUUCUCCUAGAACUAAUGUUUGAACGCAAAUUUCUUUUAAAUAUUUCACCAUAUCACGAGUAAUGAAGACUGGCUUAGCUGCAAAACCAAUUACUUGUAUAAAGCUUAUCGAUGUCAUUUCCUUGCCUGAGAACGGAUACAAAAGUUUCAAUGCAUCUUCGAAUCGGAUACGAACUUUAAACAUAUUUAGUUCCUUCAGUACAGGUAAAGGUCUUAAAAAGUUAGGUUCUACAAAGGAUAUAAACGAAUAACACCUAUGAAAAUAAAUUGAGAUAAUGUUUCGUGGCAAGUUUAUCAAAGUUUCGUUAAGCAUUUGUUUUAAAUAGAAUUUUUCAAAUUUAACAAUUUGAAGGUUAAGCAUCAUUUCAAAAUCACUCGAGUUGAAUACAGGGUUUUCAGCCAGGUCCAUAUAUAGGGUUGUCAGGUUAGACAUGUAACCGAAAAAUGGAUAUUCUUCUGAAGCUUUGAUUACCAAUUUAUCCAUAUUGUAUGUAAUGUGUAAAUGAUUCCGAUUAAUCAAAGGUUUAAAUACAUGCUUGAAAUCACGAGA
rnacentral:lncRNA from 1 species